ACUGAUUUUCUUACUCUGUCUCCUCUAUACAGAGUGUCCAAAAUCUGGAUGGGUAUCAAUAGAAAUCAACAUUGAUACUGUCCGAAAUCUGUUAUCAUUCUUCAUUAGUAAUAAAUUAAUAAUGACAUUAGUACUAAUGAUUAGAACCAUGUUAUAUACUAACUAAUAUUAGAGCUUUUGAUUUGAAGUAAUGGUUUAUGCUCCUAUGCUUUCACUUUUUGUUGCAGGUUUGCUUAUACUUUAAUUUGCACUAAUGUUUUCAUGUGUGUGGUAACAUGUCUAGGACAUAUGGCAGCAGGUAGCAUGAAUGGUUAUUGUCUCUCUCAUGUUAUAUGGUGAGCAUGAUCAUGAUUUUUCUGUCCAGCCAAUGAGAGAAUUUCCUGUCCAAUUUUUCUUGAAGGUUAUUGUAGGAGAGAUCAAGCACUCUCAAGCUACUCAUGUCACCAACUUGUGGAGGGACUUUUCCAGUGAGUUGAUUGUGGGAAAGAUCAAGUGCUUCUAAUUUCAAUAGAUUCCCAAGAAAAGUUGGGAUUUCACUUGAGAGAUUGUUGUAUCUGAGGUCUAAAUUGAUUUGGAGAUUUUGAAGUUUUUCAAUUUCUGUUUUAGUAUGAAAAAUAACACAGCUUUUAGUAUAGUUGAUAGUUUUAGUAUGGUUGAAUAAUACAUUGAGGAUUAUAGUUGAUGUAUCAAUACAUUUUGUUUGUAUUUUGAAUUAUAUUGACUUGUUUGUUUAUUA